UCCUACUAUCGGUCUAUUUCG
rnacentral:piRNA from 1 species